GCGAAAGUGGCGAAAUUGGUAGACGCGCUACCUUGAGGGGGUAGUGCAGAAAUGUUUGUGGGUUCGAGUCCCACCUUUCGCA
rnacentral:tRNA from 1 species